AAAAUGUUUAACAUGAGCUUUUUUUCUACUCAGGUCUAGUGAACAUGCUUAUAUAUUUAUGGCGUAGUUUGAAGUUUUAUUUUAUAGGUGCUCUAUUAGUAGAGGUAAAAUUCGUGCCAGCAGCUGCGGUUAAACUUAGUCUGCAGUUGAAAUAUAGUAGGUCAGCUAAUUUUAGUGUAAGGUAUAAUAAGGUUUGGUGAAAUAAUUGGGUUUAUUUUAACGUGUUAAGGUUAAGUUAUUUAUAGAACCAGGAUUAGAGACCCUGCUACUAGUAUUAUAUAGUCUAAUGAGUAAUGUGCAUAAAUUAUAUGGUUUGGCGGCUAGCUUUUUUAGAGGGGUUUGCUUAUUAUCGACGAGCCUCGUUAGUUCUUAUUUUGUCUAUUUAUGUACACCGUCAUUUAGUUAGUCUUUUAAGUGAAAAACUAAUAUAUUUAGUCAAUGAAGCUAGAUCAAGGUGCAGAGUUACAAGGUUAAGUUAACCACAAUAUAAAUGUGUAUAAAUGGGAUGGGUUUAACAAGCAUUAGCUGAAAAAGUGGAUUUAAUAGUAAUUAUUUAUUUUUGAUAAGUUUUAGUUAGUGUACAAAUUGCCCGUCAAUCUCUGUGAGGUAAGUCGAAACAAAGUAGAAAAACCGGAAGGUUUUUCUA
rnacentral:rRNA from 1 species